rnacentral:piRNA from 1 species
UGGUGACCAAGCUUUAACACAUGGGCCU